rnacentral:tRNA from 2 species
UCCCCAGUAGCUCAGCCGGUAGAGCAGAUGGCUGUUAACCAUCGGGUCCGUGGUUCGAGUCCGCGCCAGGGAGCCA